rnacentral:rRNA from 1 species
CCCCCCCCCCCGGGGGACGGGCCCGAAAGGCACGGCGGCGUCGCGUCCGGUCCUCGAGCGUAUGGGGCUUUGUCACACGCUUCAGUAGAACCGGCCGGCUUGCUGGCCACACGACCUUCACGGUCACCUAUAUUUCUCUUAGGUUGACCUCGGAUCAGGUAGGGAU